ensembl:lincRNA
GAGCAUUUCUUAAGAAGAAUACCUAGAAACAUCUGGGGUCUUUCUAUUUCAUUGUCUUACAAUUAUUAGGCCUUGUGUAAACGCUCGCAGAUUGAAUGAUGAAAUAAAAGAAGAAACUACAGCACAGAAGGAUUCACCUGACUGAAGGGAGACUGGAGCUUUUCCUCAUGUCUUUAAGGCUAUCCUUUAUCUGCUGCAGUUGGGUUUUCCUUGUUUUCUCCAUGACAGCCUGAGAGAUGUAGCUGGUGCUGCCACUUUUCCUUCAUUUUUCCCUGCCUUGAAUAUGGUGGUGAUGCCUGGAGCUUCAGCAGCCAUCUUAUGGCCAUGAAAUGGCAAGCAUGAGAAUGAAAGAAAAUGCACUCAUCAUGACAGGAGGAAGAGCAGAAGAAAUCUGGGUCACUGGUGAUAUCAAUGGAUAGCUGAAGCAAUGUGGGUAAUUACUUAUCUCUAAAAUUUCUGUUAUAUAAGAAAAUUUCAACCCACAUUUUAAAGCCAUGUUACUUAUCUAUGACUUGAAAUCAGAGGUAUUCCUAACAAAUAUAUAACUUACAAGGCUUUCC